UGUGGCUGUGGAGUUUAGAGAAAAAUAUCACUGCUAUGUAGUUCUGGUUGCCUUGGAACUAUUCAGCCCAACGAAAUGAGAACCAUGCCUUCCUGUAAACCACAGGCUGAAUGUGGAGAACCUCAUGUUCAGGUAGACCCAGACUAGAAACCCUGCAAGACUGUAUAUACAGUGUGGUGAGAGUGUAUUAGAAACGCUCCUUCUCUCACUGGCUGAAAGUUGCACACAAUCCAAUCCUUGGAACCAGUGUUCAGCUUUAUGUCAAAACCAUUUUACAGACUUUUUGUGAUUUUCUCUGAUUGGGGUUCAGAGAAACACUAGAAGUUGCAAUUCUCCCUUUCCAUCCCUUGAUCUUUCCCUCUUACUCAAAUAAAGCAUAGAUGUAAACACUUAGUAGGGUAUUUGAGUGCUAUUGAAUUAUAAAUCAGGAAAACCCUCAUCUCUUUUUGUCUGGGCAAUAUCAACUGCUUGUUUUUGUUAAGCAAUGGGGAUACUCUCCAAAAGCUCCCCCAUCACCCGUAGAGGAAAGCCUUGAUGUUUGUGCUUGCAAAGUUAUUCUGGGAAUUUCUCCUCCAACCGCCGAACAAAAUGGUGUCCAGUGGGAACAUCCUCACAGGGAGCUCGUUUCUUGAAAGCAAACAUGAAUUCUCACACCAAGCGAACUCUUUGUUCUACUGAGUCUGUGCUUAUAUUGGAAGGUAAGUGAUCAAGGCUGGCUGCCCACAAGGGCUCCGGCGUGGCAAUGCCACUGAUUCUACACUGAAUAAGAAGCCUAAUCCCAUCAUUCACAGCUCAUAUCAGAUUCUACAUUCAUUUUGUUCCCAUUACAAUGCUGAAACUGAUUUCUGAGGCAUAACUUUUCUAAACCGUUAUAGUUACAAAACCUUUUAGUCUUGCUUGACUAGUCGUGACAUAUGCGAUUUCUGCCAUUGCUGAAUGAGAUUAAACUGAAUGCCUUGGGUUACUUGACACUAUAUAUAAUUUUGAAACUGGAAAAAAAAAACGCAUUGGUUCUUGGUUUGCUUUGAAAGGAGAUCUGGACAGGAAAUCUGUGUUUAUUCUUCUUGCAGCAUUUGUUGUAGAGCCGUUCUAUGAAUGGAGGCUGGGGAGAGACUAGAGGUAUAUUUUCUGGGUGAUUUAAAUAUUGACUGGCUUUCAUCAAGCUGCCCACUCUAGAAAAUGCUUCAAACUGUAACCAGUGCCUGCAACCUGGUGCAGGUUAUCAGUCAACCUACCAGGGUAGUUGCAAACAGCACAGGGAUGAAAUCAUCAACAUGUAUUGAUCACAUCUUUACUAAUGCUGCAGACAUGUGCUUGAAAGCAGUAUCCAGACCCAUUGAAUGUAGUGAUCACAAUAUAGUAGCCAUAUCUCGGAAAACCAAAGUUCCAAAGGCUGGGCCUAAUAUAGUGUAUAAGAGGUCAUACAAUAAGUUUUGUAGUGAUUCCUAUGUUGUUGAUGUAAAUAAUAUUGCACUAGACACAUUUAUGAAAUUGCUCAUUCCAGUUAUUAAAACCUGUUAUGGCUGCUGUCCCUGUACAGGGACCAACACCAGGGGAAAUUUCAGAGUGACAACUAAAAAUACAAUUUCGUAACAUUAAACAUUCUUGAAAAUGCAUGUGUCUUACACCCUUCAAAAGAUUAGAAUCUUGGUAAUCAAACUAUGUUUUCCAAUUUAAAAUAGCUAUUACAGAGAACAAAUCCCAUGCUUUUGUUUGAGAAGAGCAAUCAAGAACAGAAACAUUUUCCGCCAUGACAGUUUUUACACAUUUACAUCUGAAGGUAAAAUUAUGACUUACAUUCUGAUAUCUUGCUCUUAUUUCUCUUCCUGAGUAUCCCAUUGAUCAAAUGAAGUGCCGUUUUCUUUGAUAAAAUCCAUUUUUAUAGCCUAAAUCUAAACAUUUUGUAAACUAUUUGUGCAGUGAAUUCCAUCUCUAUCAAUUUUUUACGGAGCAUUCGGUGUGAUUCGCCCAUGUAAACAAUCGUUUACAUAGUCAUGGUGGGUGUCGGUGCAUUCCUAUGGGUGUUUGCAACACAGUCAAACAACGUUGUUUUUUUUGCGGGGACAAUUGACCGAAGUGAGCUGAUUUGAAGACAACGAUAAAUGACUACCUGACGCACCAAUCAUUUUAGCGAAGCUUCAUUGAUUGACUAUAUUUCUGCCCAAUGACCACUGAUCUUCUUGAAAUCUAGCUGGGUAGAUAGCCAAUGAGCUGAGGUAAACGCCAGUAUGUAAUGGUUUGGGGUUGGACCACAAUUCCUUUGUUGUAAUCGCACACGCAGGGAACUCCAUUUUCGCCUUGACGAUCAGAGGGGUUGCUGUAAGGCUUUUUACGCGCAGCUGUAUUUCGGAAAGUUGUAGUUUCAACGAUUUCAUUGAAGAUAUACUGGCGAAUACUUCAUGUAAAGCGAAGUCAAACUCUAAAGUGAAAGUGAGACAGAUUUUUUGUUUGAGGAAUCUUGGAGUGUUAUCAUUCAACCGAACUGAGGAGCUGUUUCUGCAAGGACAGGACGUACUUCUGGACGGUGACAGAAACUCCGACUUGGAGGCCCCGGUGCCAAGCUGCCCGCUCUAUCUGUGCCCCCAGUGCUGUUCAUAUGCCACAGUUCAUUACUGCAGGCAUGACUGUGCCUCAGAGCCAAAAGGGCACAGCAUGGAGGCGUCGUUGUGUUCUGUGUCGCAUGAAAUGCACCACUUGUUCAGUUUGCCUCUGCUUUACAUCAGAAAGAGACUGCUAUGGGACAUGCCACAGGCAGCAAAAUAUUAUGACGAGGACUUCCAAGGGGUGUGUACUGUUUUUUAUUUUUUAUAUUUAUUUUCUAAUAUUUUUUAAAACAUUUUUUGUGUGUGUGUGUUAGAAUUGCUUUUUGAUAUGUUGUAUAUAGUUAUUUGCACUGCUGUAUAUAGUUAUAGGUCAUUUCACCAAUUCGGCCACUUGGGUACAUUUGGGCAACUUGUGUGGGACACCUGGGUGACUUCAUGCUAAAUGUCAUGUAGCUCACCCAUUCCUGAAGUUAUCUGUCUCAAACUUUGCACACCUACAGUUGCCCUCUUGUGUUAUCCAUCAAAAUGAUCUCCAGCAUCAUAUCUGACUGUGUGGCUAUUCUAGUACAUGUGAAAGAUGAUACUACAACAAUAAAAAACAGAAAAUGUA